rnacentral:lncRNA from 1 species
CCAACGCAUGAUGUUGUGUUACCAGGAAAGAGAACAUAGGAUGACUAGUACAUCCCCUAUAAUAUAGUAUGGCAUCAUGCACAUGGUCAGUAAAAACAAACCUUAUAUCGGUAAGUAUGAGUUUCCAUUUUUGGCCCCUACAUGACCUCCACCUUCCAUAGCUUUGCUGCGCAUCUCGCCAUUAUUGCCCAAUUAAAAGCAUUAAAAAGAAACAAACCAAUACAUUUACCAUUUAUUAACCAAGGCCAUUUAGUAGUAGUAUCAUCAUACUGACCAUACUUGAAAGUAAUAUCCAUAGCCAACUAUAUAUAGGUGUAAGGGGACUUCCAAGUGCCCUUCCAUUUACCAUAUUAAAU